CUGUUGUGAUCACCAAAGCAACACUAUCCGUUUAGGUGCUGGAUUAGAAUCCAGGCGAGUCCGCAGUAUAGUCUUUACACUUCAUCAACUUCCACACAGGACAUAAAUUGUACUAAUAUAGUAAUAUACUGAAAUCUCAGACCAACUGUUUGUCAUCGGAUUAGAAUGUGAUGACACAGAAUAAAGAUGUGAGACAGAAUCUGUGCUGAGGUCUAAAUUCACAUUGGAAGUCUGGGAAGAGAAGACUGUUUAUAAAAUUAUAGCCCAGGAAUUGCUGCCAAAGUCGGCCUUUGGUGCAGCUGUAAGUCGGAUGGAAUCCACCUUCCUGACGUCAGACCCACCCACUGGAACACUGCUCCUCUGACUGGGGCUUCCCUGAAUGGAAACUACAUGUCAUACUGCAAAAGGUAAGGAACCCAGUGAGAAAGACAGAGAGAAGUAUGGACAAGAAACAGAUCCUAAACCUGUUUUGUUUUAUUUUUGGUAGUAGUUGUUUAUUUUUGAAAACAUUCAAACCACCUGUAUUGGUGGCUGUUAUUAUGAAAUAAAUAAACUGAGAAACAACAAGACAAUUUGGCCUCUACAAUUUGUUUAGUUUUGACUAAGUAUUUGCCUUGGAAGAAGUAUGUGUACAAUACUCAUUUUUAAAAGAUGCAACAGUCACCUCGUUACUUGGAGUUUUACUUGAGACUUGAAUGGACUGAAACCACCUGGUCA
rnacentral:lncRNA from 1 species